rnacentral:rRNA from 1 species
GAUGAACGCUAGCUACAGGCUUAACACAUGCAAGUCGAGGGGCAGCGGGAGAAAAGCUUGCUUUUCUUGCCGGCGACCGGCGCACGGGUGAGUAACGCGUAUCCAACCUACCCUCCAGCAGGGGAUAGCCCGUAGAAAUGCGGAUUAAUACCCUAUGCGGUCGUUUUGUGGCAUCAUGUUACGACCAAAGACUCGUCGCUGGCGGAUGGGGAUGCGUAUGAUUAGGUAGUAGGCGGGGUAACGGCCCACCUAGCCAUCGAUCAUUAGGGGUUCUGAGAGGAAGGUCCCCCACACUGGUACUGAGACACGGACCAG